AACUAGAUACCACCACCCCCACCACUUAGGGAGUUGGAUAGACCAAGAAACACAUUGAGGAAGGAGAGAGGUGAGAGGCGCCCACAGCAAGGUGAGGAAGGACUAUUACAGUCAAGUCCGGCCCACAGCAAGGUGAGGAAGGACUAUUCCAGUCAAGUCCGGCCCACAGCAAGGUUCUGAGAACGUGGUGCUGCGGGAAGACCUGUACCAGCUGUGAGUGAGGGAUAUUAACACCUCUUUGGGCACCUGCUCUGAUACGCCAUCUUGGUUACUCAAGACAACAUAGAUACACUCAAGAAACAUGGCCACAUUCAAGGGGCAAGAUUAUAAAAAAGGCUGGCUGGCUGGUGAAGUUCUACAGCUGUGAAGGUCAGACGACGCGUCGUUCCCUCACAAGGUACUGUAAACAAUGGGGGAGGUCGCUUCAGGUCCGGUGAGCUCCUCAGUCCUCUGCUUAUGAAAACGGGGCUAAAAAAAUAAUUAUUGAUUUAAAAUUUCGCAAACUUAUAAUACAAAAAUAUGGACACUGUAAUUCAAAAAGUGGUAGUUAAACUUCAUUGAACAUAAAUCGAAGAAGGAUAAAUAGAAAGAUACAUAAAUAGAGGGACUACAGCACGAUAAAAUUGACACACACACACACACACACACGUCUUUGGGAAUAGGCUAUAUAGCCUGGCGGAGUAUAGCCUGAUGAUACGAUAGCAGGUUUGGGUAAGAGAGUUCACGUGGAGAACAGUAUUAAAGCCGCGUAUUGAUAUCCAAAACACGUACAUGCACCAUGAUUUAUUGUUAUGAAUGAACUCCAGUGCCUGCGGGGUCUCAGCUGGCGAAUUUUAUUGACCUUCAGUCGAUAUCACUUAUAUUUCCGGGUUAAAAAUGAACUACGUGACUCGAUAUUUUAACUUUUGUGGCAUUAAUUCGCAACUAAAAAUAAAACAGUGUUGUAUUUCGUGCAUAGAAACUUUACCAUUGUUGUACUUCUUGACCGAGUAAUUUCUUGAAGCUAGUAAUCUCGACUCGCAUUCCAUGCAUACAGACCAAUACUGAAUACAUUAUUAAGUUUGUUAAUAAAAAAACAAGAGUAAGAACCUGAAAGUGGACAUAAGCCAAUAUUAACUACAAUAUUAACUACAAUUUACAGUCUCCGUGGUGUAGUGGUAAGACACUCGCCUGGCGUUCCGCGAGCGCUAUGUCAUGGGUUCGUAUCCUGG